rnacentral:rRNA from 1 species
GACGAACGCUGGCGGCGUGCUUAACACAUGCAAGUCGAACGGAAAGGCCCUGCUUUUGUGGGGUGCUCGAGUGGCGAACGGGUGAGUAACACGUGAGUAACCUGCCCUUGACUUUGGGAUAACUUCAGGAAACUGGGGCUAAUACCGGAUAGGAGCUCCUGCUGCAUGGUGGGGGUUGGAAAGUUUCGGCGGUUGGGGAUGGACUCGCGGCUUAUCAGCUUGUUGGUGGGGUAGUGGCUUACCAAGGCUUUGACGGGUAGCCGGCCUGAGAGGGUGACCGGCCACAUUGGGACUGAGAUACGGCCCAGACUCCGACGGGAGGCAGAAGUGGGGAAUAUUGCACAAUGGGCGGAAGCCUGAUGCAGCAACGCCGCGUGCGGGAUGACGGCCUUCGGGUUGUAAACCGCUUUCGCCUGUGACGAAGCGUGAGUGACGGUAAUGGGUAAAGAAGCACCGGCUAACUACGUG